CAGUCGGACGGGAUUGGAGAGCUUGCUUUCCAUGAGAGUGGCGCACGGGUGCGUAACACGUAUGUAACCUACCUUCGUCAGGGGGAUAGCCUCUCGAAAGAGAGAUUAAGACCGCAUAACAUCACUUUAUAGCAUUAUAGUGUGAUCAAAUAUUUAUAGGACGAAGAUGGGCAUGCGGAACAUUAGCUAGUUGGUGAGGUAACUGCUCACCAAGGCUACGAUGUUUAGGGGAUCUGAGAGGAUGACCCCCCACACUGGUACUGAGACACGGACCAGACUCCUACGGGAGGCAGCAGUAAGGAAUAUUGGUCAAUGGGCGCAAGCCUGAACCAGCCAUGCCGCGUGCAGGAAGACGGCCCUACGGGUUGUAAACUGCUUUUGUACCGGAAUAAACCUUGAUUCGUGAAUCAAGCUGAAUGUACGGUAAGAAUAAAGAUCGGCUAACUCCGUGCCAGCAGCCGCG
rnacentral:rRNA from 1 species